GGUUCAGCUACAAGGGCCUUGCCUCAGCUUCUCGUUGCACCCGCCUUAAGACUGUCUCAUUAGCGCUGUAGCAUAAAACUGUAGUGAUGAUCUUCGUGUUCUCUACAGCUCAUCCAUGCCCAGAUUGACGACGCUGCGAAGAGUAGGCUUACCAGCAGGGGAAAGUGUUAGCUAGUAAGAGCUGCUUCUACUUUGACGGGCUUAAGCCUCAUCACGCCUCUUCGUAAGUACUGAAAGGCCAAUGCAAAGAGGCCAAAAAAGUAUAAAAUGAAGAUAUGUAGCUUCUCUACGCUCCCAAGAAUGAAAGACGAACUGACUGCUCUCCAUGCCGAUAUCUGAGAAGCUUUGCCACCUGAAGAAAAGAGUAGCAUCAGUGAAAGAUGAAAGAAGUCCGUGACCCGUUUUCAGUUUGAGAACAUAAGUGUGAGGUUCUCAUUAUAUUAUUUGGGUAAUCUCUAAGAGAUUUAGACCAGUAUUACAGAAAGAUGAAGAAUUUGCAUACGAGUAUCACCCACCACUGUUUUUAGCGGACAAAUUUGUCCAUUCGUAUAGAUUUGUCCCACUAUGUGAUGCGUUGAUUAACUCCAGUAGAGCUUUAUUUACCUGCAA